rnacentral:rRNA from 1 species
GUCCACGCCCUAAACUAUGUCAACUAGUUGUUGGGGGAGUUAAAUCCCUUAGUAACGAAGCUAACGCGUGAAGUUGACCGCCUGGGGAGUACGGUCGCAAGAUUAAAACUCAAAGGAAUUGACGGGGGCCCGCACAAGCGGUGGAUGAUGUGGUUUAAUUCGAUGCAACGCGAAAAACCUUACCUACCCUUGACAUGUACGGAAGCCCGCAGAGAUGUGGGUGUGCCCGAAAGGGAACCGUAACACAGGUGCUGCAUGGCUGUCGU